rnacentral:rRNA from 1 species
CAGCUUGUUUGGCUGAAGGAAUUUCAAACUUUUGAUGACAAGUCCAGCGCCAUUAAUGUUGAUACUGGUGUUAACAAACAACUCACUGAGAUGAUCACGAAGUGGCACCGCCCUGGGCAGAAACUUCUUGUUGGAAAACAUGAAUAUAAAUCAAUUAUUGAAACAAGCUUGGUCAAUGAGCAGAUUGUUGCGACUGCAUCUGUCUUGUUUGAUUGUGAUGCUUUUGAGAAGAAACAGUAUGAAAACUUUCAAGCUAUUGGUCGCCACCUUAAGAAUGUUUCUGGCAUUGACUGUGAGAACUGGGACCUUUUGAAACUUGCAACAGCUUUUAAGAUCAUAUGCAGCCAUGAAAUUGGUGAUUCUGAUGAGAUGUUUACAAAAAACCUGCGAACAAAGUUGCUGGAUGAUGCCGAUAAAUAUGAAAAAAAGAUAAAUAAGUUGGUUUGCAUGUUGAACUAUGAAGACCUAAUGUCUAACUAUCAAAUCAAGACUCGUCACAAAGGCCGUUUUGGUAAAGGAAGCUAA